UAGGGAAUCUUCCACAAUGGACGCAAGUCUGAUGGAGCAACGCCGCGUGAGUGAAGAAGGUUUUCGGAUCGUAAAGCUCUGUUGUUGGUGAAGAAGGAUAGAGGCAGUAACUGGUCUUUAUUUGACGGUAAUCAACCAGAAAGUCACGGCUAACUACGUGCCAGCAGCCGCGGUAAUACGUAGGUGGCAAGCGUUGUCCGGAUUUAUUGGGCGUAAAGCGAGCGCAGGCGGAAUGAUAAGUCUGAUGUGAAAGCCCACGGCUCAACCGUGGAACUGCAUCGGAAACUGUCAUUCUUGAGUGCAGAAGAGGAGAGUGGAACUCCAUGUGUAGCGGUGGAAUGCGUAGAUAUAUGGAAGAACACCAGUGGCGAAGGCGGCUCUCUGGUCUGCAACUGACGCUGAGGCUCGAAAGCAUGGGUAGCGAACAGGAUUAGAUACCCUGGUAGUCCAUGCCGUAAACGAUGAGCGCUAGGUGUUGGGGACUUUCCGGUUCUCAGUGCCGCAGCAAACGCAUUAAGCGCUCCGCCUGGGGAGUACGACCGCAAGGUUGAAAC
rnacentral:rRNA from 1 species